AUUGAACGCUGGCGGCAUGCCUUACACAUGCAAGUCGAACGGUAACAGGUCUUCGGAUGCUGACGAGUGGCGAACGGGUGAGUAAUACAUCGGAACGUGCCCGAUCGUGGGGGAUAACGCAGCGAAAGCUGUGCUAAUACCGCAUCAGAUCUAUGGACGAAAGCGGGGGGUCUUCGGACCUCGCGCGAACGGAGCGGCCGAUGGCAGAUUAUGUAGUUGGUGGGGUAAAGGCUCACCAAGCCUGCGAUCUGUAGCUGGUCUGAGAGGACGACCAGCCACACUGGAACUGAGACACGGUCCAGACUCCUACGGGAGGCAGCAGUGGGGAAUUUUGGACAAUGGGCGAAAGCCUGAUCCAGCAAUGCCGCGUGCAGGAAGAAGGCCUUCGGGUUGUAAACUGCUUUUGUACGGAACGAAAAGGAUUCUUCUAAUACAGGAGUCUGAUGACGGUACCGUAAGAAUAAACACCGGCUAACUACGUGCCAGCAGCCGCCGUAAGAC
rnacentral:rRNA from 1 species